rnacentral:rRNA from 1 species
GUCUACGGCCAUACCACCCUGAACGCGCCCGAUCUCGUCUGAUCUCGGAAGCUAAGCAGGGUCGGGCCUGGUUAGUACUUGGAUGGGAGAUGAGAAGCAUCCAGGUCACUCCAGACU